AAUUUUUUGCAGGGUAGUUAUUUGAUAUACAUUUUUAUUGGUGGCAUAAGGCAAAAGUAUUGGUGUUCUAGAUAUUUUUAGUUUAACCUAAAUAGCUUAACUAACGGCAGAGAUAUUUAACUUUGAAGAUGAGUACCUUCAAUGUGAUUUUUUUUUUUCUGACGAAUAAGAAUAAUUCCUACGCGAGGUGUAUGAUAGUGAUAUACGCCUUAGUAGGAACGGUCAAAAAACCUAAUCCAAUGUUCGUCUAUGGUAUUUGAAAGAGUUUUGUUUAUGACUUUUUAUUUUUUUGUUAACUUCGGCAGGCUCAUCGGAAGAGGGUCUCGAUCUCUGCGGUUUGACGAACGGCUUGACCGCGCAACAACUGCAUCAACAGCAACAAAAUUUACAACACAAAACGCCACCCUCGCGCAGCAACACUGCUCUACACGUUUGUUGGCAUCGUGGCGCAACCGUCGGUUUGGGCGAUCAUCUAAUAUCCGCCGAAAACCAACUGUCCGGAUAUUUGCUGCGUAAAUUCAAAAAUAGUUCCGGUUGGCAAAAAUUAUGGGUCGUCUUUACUUCGUUCUGCUUGUACUUCUACAAAAGCUAUCAGGACGAAUUUGCGCUGGCUAGUUUACCGUUAUUGGGAUACUCUGUUGGCCCGCCAGGUCACCAAGACGCGGUUCAAAAGGAAUUUGUUUUCAAAUUAUCAUUUAAGAAUCAUGUUUACUUCUUCCGUGCUGAAAGUGUGCACACUUAUAAUCGAUGGAUUGAGGUACUACGAAGUACCACUCAAACGCAAGACUUCAAAAACAUUAAUACAGCCACUGCUCACUGAAGUUAGUCAUGUUAAAUACAGAACAAUUGUAUUCGUCAAUACAUAGGAUUCGGCAAAUGCACAGGAAGCAGGAAUAUUUCCAACGAAACUGUGGAUGACAUCACACAUUCGACAUCUGAAGCAAUAAAUGAAAACCAAUAUUUCAACCAUAACCACGCUUUAAAAAAGUGCCUUUUAAGUAUUUUUUUACUACUCGUAAAUACACAAACACAUACACAUAUCCAUAUGUACGUAUUUAUUAUCUUUUAAGAAGCUACGGUAUACAUUGGAACUAGAGAAAUCCUUAAAUUAAAACUAUUUUUCGGAACUUUAUACAAAAUUUAUAUACAAUACAAAGUAGUAUGUGCAACAUAUGAAUUCUUUUAAAUAUUUAUAAAUAUAUACAUACGCCAUGAUGUCGUAGUGUCAGAAGAUUUCUCAUAUUUUAUUAAUUGCUUGUAUGUAUAUACAAACAUACAUAAACGAAAACAUUUCAAUUACUGCAUUUCUAUACGUAUUUUAAAUAUAAGCUAAAGAAAAUAUUUAACUGCACCCGGAUUCCAACAUUCGCUAUCGCUAAAACUCCAACGCCAAAAAGUGCUAAAUUAAUUUUAGCAAUUUUCAGCGAUUUUCGGGAUUCUAUCAUGAAAAUGCAACUCUAAAAAUCGCCAUUUUUGGCACAUUUUUUGACAAAUUUUAGCGAUGAACAAAAUGAAUCCGGAUAAAGCGAGUGAACUGUUUUUGACAGCUCAAACAGCUAAAAUGGCGAUUCCAGCGUUUUUUCCAUCGCUAAAAAUACUUCUUUUUCGCUUAAAAGCCUGCAAAUUUGACGACGACAAAUAUUCGGUGCUAAAAAAUAAAUCAACAAAAUACUCGAUUAAAUAAAAAUUGUUGUAAUUCAUAUUAAAAAUCGAAAACUGCAGCAGCAGAAGGGUGACAAAUGAGCUUGUUCAAUAUUUGGAAAAAUACAGGGAAUUCUCUCAUGACAGUUAUGGAAAAGAUUUUCUCGUAACUGAAAUCGUUAAGGUUCUUUUUUUUUAAAUUCGUGAAUGACACCGGGUGCAGGCAUUUGCUGGAGCAGUGGAACCAUCUUGCUUAGAAACUAAACGCGUGUGGAGGAGCCAUUGAAGACGGUGAAGGAUGGAAACAGAAAAAAGUUGGAUAGGAACGAAUUUUAAUUUCACGCGGUAAAUUCGAAAAUCGUGUACAAAGAAGUUUUCGUGCUCGUAUUUUCAGGCAAUGUAGUUCCAGAAUAACUUGCCGGGAAAUUGGCCGUAACCAUUUUGCAGUAACCACACCAUUGUUCAUAAAAUAUGACCAUAGUCCUUCCAAGAAACGAUUGGGUGUGUGGUUUAGUAAAUAAUGGCUAGCAACUUAAGAAGCGGCUUGCAUAGUGAAUUAAGUUUUAUAUUUAUUGCUGGUUUUCAUGAAUAGUAUUACAGCAGUUUUUUGUAUUUAUGGUUGCAACAAAAUGCUUAAUUAACCGACUUGUUAUCACUUUACAAACACUUUAUUUAAUUUGCAAUCCCAAACUCUUUGAUUGUACUUUAUUAGUUUUAUUAAUAAGUUAUAUGAAUUUAUAAUAAAUCGGUCAAAAUUAUUGAAAAGUUCUACUUACUCUUAUUUUCACUAUUAAAGGUACGACCGCACUGGGCGACGCGACACGACACUACACAGCGCGGAAAAUAUUCUCUGCAUGGAUUCAUAUGGAGCAUACCGCACUACGCUGCAGCGGAGCUACGCGACGCGACGCUGCGCGGCAAAGUUGACCAACUAGGCAAAAAUGUCGCGUCGCGUGGUGUCGCGCAGUUCCGGUGCCGCAUAGUGUGGUAUACCCAGCGGAGCGACAUAACAUUUCGUACUAUAUUUUUAACUUGAAAUUGAUUUCGAAUUGUAAGUGAAUAUUCAGAUGCAUUUCAUUCAAGAAGAAAAUUUUAUGUAAAGAAACAUAACAUUUGAGGAGAAUUCGCCAAGGAAAAUAAAAAUAAAAGGCAUUAACAUUACAUCAGCGUCACUGGCAUCCAUCUUGUUUGAAUGUUUUGACGCAAAUAAAUAAAAAAAAAAUGCAGCGAAGUGUCGCGCCGCUGCAGUUUCAGUGCGGUAUACCAAAAAGUGUCGCGCCGUGUCGCGUAGUGCCGCUGCAGUGUCGCGUCGCCCAGUGCGGUCGUACCUUAAAAUCAAAACAAAAUUUGACAGCUGCCGUUGCUGCACAGCGCUCCUGGCGGCCGAAUAAAGUACUAAAAUUUAGGCUAAGCAAAUUUUAGCGACAGGGUGGACAGAAUCGCGAUCUUUGGAGUUCGCCAAAAAUUAGGAUAAAAUUUUAUCUUAAGCGUUUUAGCAGAUUUUAGCAUUUUAGCGAUAACAAAAGUUGGAAUCCGGGUGCUGGUGUCCACGCAUUUUUAGCUGUUUGCUGUAUUAUUGUUUUAUGUACUAAAAUUAUAAUAAUUGCAUUUAUCUGUGUCUGUUUCAAUAGAAUCAGAAGGAUAAACUAAGAAACUUAAGUUUUCGAAAAGCAAAAAUAAAUUGUGUUUCUAAAAUGGAA